rnacentral:rRNA from 1 species
AUUGAACGCUGGCGGCAUGCCUUACACAUGCAAGUCGAACGGCAGCGGGGGAGAAGCUUGCUUUUCCUGCCGGCGAGUGGCGAACGGGUGAGUAAUACAUCGGAACGUGCCCUGUAGUGGGGGAUAACUAGUCGAAAGAUUAGCUAAUACCGCAUACGACCUGAGGGUGAAAGUGGGGGACCGCAAGGCCUCAUGCUAUAGGAGCGGCCGAGGUCUGAUUAGCUAGUUGGUGGGGUAAAGGCCUACCAAGGCGACGAUCAGUAGCUGGUCUGGGGGGACGAUAAGCCAAACUGGGACGGAGACACGGCCCAGACUCCUACGGGAGGCAGCAGUGGGGAAUUUUGGACAAGGGGCGAAAGCCUGAUCCAGCAAGGCCGCGUGUGGGAAGAAGGCCUUCGGGUUGUAAAGCACUUUUGUCCGGAAAGAAAUGGCUCUGGUUAAUACCUGGGGUCGAUGACGGUACCGGAAGAAUAAGGACCGGCUAACUACGUGCCAGCCGCCGCCGUAA